UCCCAGGUCGUCUAAUAGGUAGGACAUGCGUCUCUGGAGCGCAUUGUUUAGGUUCGAGUCCUAACCUGGGAGCGA
rnacentral:tRNA from 2 species